GACAAGUCUAACAGAGAACUGAGAAGGAGAGUUGAAAUCCCACAAGUCUGCCCAUAAUUUAAACCCUUGUGAAGGAAAUGACUUUUUGCUUCUAGUAAGUAGUAUUGUCAUGUUCUUUGUGAGGGUGAGGGUGAGGGUGAGGGUGGUAGUAAAACAACAUCAAUUCUUUAUUAUUCUCUCUCUCUCUCUCUAUUUUAAAAAAAGAAGAAGCAACAUUGAGACAUGAUCUUUAUAUUUCAAGACUACUCAAGUGUCAACC
rnacentral:lncRNA from 1 species